UAGCGUAUAUUAAAGUUGUUGCGGUUAAAAAGCUCGUAGUUGGAUUUCUGUUGAGAGCAGCCGGUCUGCACUUGGUGCAUGUAUCUGGUUUGAUCUCGGCAUCCUCUCAAAAUACGUUUCUGCGCUUGAUUGCGUGGAGCGGAGUUUGGGACUUUUACUUUGAGGAAAUUAGAGUGUUCACGGCAGGCAAUCGCCUUGAAUAUAUUAGCAUGGAAUAAUAAUAUAGGAUCUUGGUUCUAUUUUGUUGGUUUCUAGAGCUAAGAUAAUGAUUAAUAGGGGCAAUUGGGGGCAUUCGUAUUUAACUGUC
rnacentral:rRNA from 1 species